rnacentral:rRNA from 1 species
UACGUAGGGUGCAAGCGUUAAUCGGAAUUACUGGGCGUAAAGCGUGCGCAGGCGGUUUUGUAAGUCUGAUGUGAAAUCCCCGGGCUUAACCUGGGAAUUGCGAUGAAGACUGCAAGGCUAGAAUCUGGCAGAGGGGGGUAGAAUUCCACGUGUAGCAGUGAAAUGCGUAGAGAUGUGGAGGAACACCGAUGGCGAAGGCAGCCCCCUGGGUCAAGAUUGACGCUCAUGCACGAAAGCGUGGGGAGCGAACAGG